AGUCACUGACAUUAGAUACCCGGGUAGUCCUAGCCGUAAACGAUGCAGACUAGGUGUUUGGACGGCCACGUGCCGUUCUAGUGCCGCAGGGAAGCUGUUAAGUCUGCCGCCUGGGGAGUACGAUCGCAAGAUUGAAACUUAAAGGAAUUGGCGGGGGAGCACCACAAGGGGUGAAGCUUGCGGUUUAAUUGGAGUCAACGCCGGAAAUCUCACCGGGAGCGACAGCAGUGUGAUAGCCAGAUUAAAGGUCUUGCUAGACGAGCUG
rnacentral:rRNA from 1 species